GUGCCAGAGGCAGAUGGGGUAGAGGACGUUCUUCUGGUCGAGAUCCAUCAUCUCCUCAUCCUAUCUCUGAUGACUCCGAUCCAUCUAGUCAUGAUCUUUACUAGAUCCUAGGUGUUAGUCUCUUGUUCUUUCUAGGAUCUGUAUUUUGGGGCCAUGUAAUGACAUUAGCUAGCUGACUUUUAUGUUAUGAAAUAUGUAUUGAAACAACUAUGUUUUAAUCAUCCUUUACUUAUACAUCUACUCUUUGUAAUGAUGUCAAUCAUCUUUUGGUUAUAUAUCUUCUCUUUGUUGAAACAACUUCUCUUUGUUGAUGAUUCAUAUCUAUGGUAAUCU
rnacentral:lncRNA from 1 species